CCUACGGGAGGCUGCAGUGAGGAAUAUUGGGCAAUGGACGGAAGUCUGACCCAGCCAUGCCGCGUGAAGGAUGAAGGCGUUCUGCGUUGUAAACUUCUUUUAUCAGGGAAGAAAAGCACUGUUUCUACGGUGUCCGACGGUACCUGAGGAAUAAGCACCGGCUAACUCCGUGCCAGCAGCCGCGGUAAUACGGAGGGUGCGAGCGUUAUCCGGAUUUACUGGGUUUAAAGGGUGUGUAGGCGGGCUAUUAAGUCAGUGGUGAAAUCCCGGGGCUC
rnacentral:rRNA from 1 species